UUUUACAGACAAGGAGACAGGCCCAGAGAGGGGAAGCCACGCACCUGUGUACACAUGGCUGAGUGAACUGCUGUGUGCACUUCCCUCCCUCCCCUUCCUGGGAGAGAACUGAUACUGAGAAAACCCCAGCAGAGAGCAGUAUCGCCUUUGUGUCUGGAGGCCCAGCCAGGACUUACCCAGCCCCAGACGUCAGCAGUGCCGAGUGACAUGGAGGAGCCUGAGCAGUAUCCCAGCAGCUGGCCCCUUGCGUAUUUGAGAAUAGGACUUGAGAAUAGGAUGGGAGAGCUGGCCACGCCUGCAAGGAGCGAAGAGCCC